UGGACACACCUGGAGGACGCUAU
rnacentral:piRNA from 1 species